AGAGUUUGAUCCUGGCUCAGAACGAACGCUGGCGGCAGGCCUAACACAUGCAAGUCGAACGCCCUAGCAAUAGGGAGUGGCAGACGGGUGAGUAACGCGUGGGAACCUUCCCUAUAGUACGGAAUAUACCAGGGAAACUUGGAGCAAUACCGUAUACGCCCGAAAGGGGAAAGAUUUAUCGCUAUAGGAUGGGCCCGCGUAGGAUUAGCUAGUUGGUGAGGUAAUGGCUCACCAAGGCGACGAUCCUUAGCUGGUCUGAGAGGAUGAUCAGCCACACUGGGACUGAGACACGGCCCAGACUCCUACGGGAGGCAGCAGUGGGGAAUAUUGGGCAAUGGGCGCAAGCCUGACCCAGCCAUGCCGCGUGAGUGACGACGGCCUUAGGGUUGUAAAGCUCUUUUGGCGGGGACGAUAAUGACGGUACCCGCAGAAUAAGCCCCGGCUAACUUCGUGCCAGCAGCCGCGGUAAUAC
rnacentral:rRNA from 2 species